rfam:Ovis aries breed Texel chromosome 11, whole genome shotgun sequence.
UCCCUGGUGGUCCAGUGCUUAAGACUCCGCACUUCCACUGCAGUGGGCCCAGGUUCGAUCCCUGGUUGGGGAA